rnacentral:rRNA from 1 species
CGAACGGGUGAGUAACACGUGGGCAACCUGCCCAAANAGGGGGAUAACACUUGGAAACAGGUGCUAAUACCGCAUAACCAUAGUUACCGCAUGGUAACUAUGUAAAAGGUGGCUAUGCUACCGCUUUUGGAUGGGCCCGCGGCGCAUUAGCUAGUUGGUGGGGUAAAGGCUUACCAAGGCAAUGAUGCGUAGCCGAACUGAGAGGUUGAUCGGCCACAUUGGGACUGAGACACGGCCCAAACUCCUACGGAAGGCAGCAG